rnacentral:rRNA from 1 species
AAACAUCGCCUCCUGCAACUAUAUUGAGUAUAGGAGGUCCAGCCUGCCCAGUGACUACGGGUUCAACGGCCGCGGUAUUUUGACCGUGCAAAGGUAGCGCAAUCACUUGUCUCUUAAAUAGAGACCUGUAUGAAUGGCUAGACGAGGGCUUAACUGUCUCCCCCCUCCAGUCAGUGAAAUUGAUCUAUCCGUGCAGAAGCGGGUAUAAUAAUACAAGACGAGAAGACCCUUUGGAGCUUAAGGUACAAGGUUCAACCAUGUUAAACGACUCUAUGAAAAGCGAGAACUUAAUGGCCCAUGAAGUUUUACCUUCGGUUGGGGCGACCACGGAGGAGAAGAAAGCCUCCGAGUGGACUGGGCUAAGUCCCAAAGCUAAGAGAUACAUCUCUAAGCCGCAGAACAUCUGACCAAAAAUGAUCCGGCUGAAAAGCCGAUCAACGAACCAAGUUACCCUAGGGAUAACAGCGCAAUCCUCUCCCAGAGUCCAUAUCGACGAGAGGGUUUACGACCUCGAUGUUGGAUCAGGACAUCCUAAUGGUGCAGCCGCUAUUAAGGGUUCGUUUGUUCAACGAUUAAAGU